rnacentral:rRNA from 1 species
UUCAAAAACAUUUCUUCAUGAAAAUAUUAUAUGAGGUUUUCCCUGCCCGGUGACUUGCGGGUUAAACGGCUGCGGUAUCCUGACUGUGCUAAGGUAGCGUGAUAAUUUGUCCUUUAAUUGUGGGCUUGAACGAAUGGGUUAACGAGAGUUAAGCUGUCUCUAUUUUUUUUAUAAAAAUUGAUUUUUAGGUGAAAAAACCUAUAUUUUAAUGAAAGACAAAAAGACCCCAUAGAGCUCUGUUUUAUGAAAAUUUUUUAAAGGUUGUAGAUUAUAAACUGUUAUAAAAUUUUAUAAAACUUAACUGGGGCGGUUGAGAAAAAAAUUAAUCUUUCUCUUAAUAAUAUUAUACUUAUAGGUAAUUUUAUUUUUGAUCCUUUUAAAGAGCAAAAGAAAAGCUACCUUGGGGGUAACAGACUAAUUUUUUUUGAGAGUUCAUAUUGACAAAAAAGUUUGGCACAUCGAUGUUGGCUUAGAAUAUCCUCAAAGUAGUAGCAGCUUUGAAUGGUGGGUUUGUUCAACCUUUAAAAUCCUACGUGAGCUGAGAUUCAGACA